ensembl:lncRNA
GGUAUCUCCUAACAGCCCUCUCCAUCAUCAGUGAAUGGAGAUUUCAUGCCCGAAAAGCCAUCCAUCCUGGUAGCGUUUGUUGGGUUUUGAAGGGGAGCCCACACCUGUUCCUGAGCACGGGCAGCGCAUGAUGCCACGCAAGCAAAGCCAGACUUACUGGAGAGACGACAGCCCUGGUCUGUGUGUGGUCAGCCACCAUCCAUUGUGUCCCUCUAUGGGCGGGUCCUGGCAGCACUGGGGGUAGCUGUGUGAGCCUGGAGGGGGUCCCUGUUCUCUGGAGAAAGCUGAGUGACCACGUGCUCCUCUCACAAGCCAGGGGGCAGGAUCCAUCUAGACUUGGGGGUGAUGCUAAAGUCCCAGAGCCAAGACCCUGGACCAACCCAUCCCUGCCCACGGUGGACCCCGUGACUCACCAGCAGAGGCAUCAUGCAUCAGGCAGCCGGGGGUCAGCUCCUCCCUGGGGAGGGAAUGCUGCAGGGCCAGCCGGUGAGAUGGGCGGGGUGGGCGUGGUGGGCGGGUUGACUUGUGAGCCCCACUCUGGCUGUGAGCUUCAACUGGUUCCCCUCCAGGCAAACAGGCAGGAGAGGUCAGGCAGGAGACCAGCAAUAAUUACCCGCCGGGCAGGCAGGCUUGGCACCCCUCCUUCAUUCCCAGGCAGAAAGGUCACCCCUGGCACCCGGGCCUGCCCUGAUGCCAUGGCCCAGCAGCAGAGCCGACAGAUGUGCUCAUGACCCUCCAGGACGGUUCAGGCAGUUCCCCAGGAGGGAAUCCAGCAGGGGGCCCAUAUCAGGCCCAGUCUGACUCUCAUUCUAGACUCCCAGCAAAAUCCUUAGCCCCUCAAGUCUCCAUCUGGAGCAACCAUAGCCCUGUGUUUUGCAAAGGAACUGGCUCCAUAAAUAGUGGUAGAUGAAUGGAUGGAUGAAGUGGGACAGUAGCCUGCCUGUCACCUCCGGGUGGCCGGAGGCGCACACGACCUUGUAGGGGAAAGUGCCCAGGGAGCAGGGUCAGCACCACGGGCACCGCCUGAGUCACUUGGUUAUUCCUGGCUGCGGAGGAGGCGGGAGUGGGACUGAGAAAGGAGGCCACCUGGCUGCCUGGGGGCUUGGCGAAGCUGCUGUCAGGGAGUGCAGCCCUGGGG